AGGUUCAGCCAUGCACUCCGGCUGUGCUGACCCCUGCGAAUUUCCCAAAUGUGGAAAUCUCGAUUGCAUAAUUUCUGGUAGUGGGGGACUGCGUUCGCGCUCUCCCCUG
rnacentral:snRNA from 8 species